AUAUAAGCCAGUUCAGAGAGCAAACAGGUUGUUGAAGGUUCAUAUCAACAAAGAACAAGAAUUACAGUAUCACAGAGACAAAGGACAAGUUUGUGAGAUGCAGGGUACAUUACUGUAAAAAUAGGGGUACAAGGAGGAGGAAGAACAAAAAAAAAUUGCAAAGGGCAAAGCAGAGUAGUAAUUUCUGAUCAAUUUUGAGCUACUAUGAUAGACCAUGUUUUCGUUCAUCAAAAGACAAUGACGAAAAAAUAGGAAAUUUGUUUUAAGAUUAAAAAUAUACUUCUCCCUGAGAACU